CAUAUAAGAGGUCCCGCCUGCCCUGUGACUCAAUAGUUUAACGGCCGCGGUAUUUUGACCGUGCGAAGGUAGCGUAAUCACUUGUCUUUUAAAUGGAGACCUGUAUGAAUGGCAUAACGAGGGCUAAGCUGUCUCCUUUUUCCAGUCAAUGAAAUUAAUCUUCCCGUGCAGAAGCGGGAAUCUACACAUAAGACGAGAAGACCCUAUGGAGCUUUAAACAAAAGGCAGUUCAUAUUAAAACAACUGAAUAAAAAGAACAAACCAAGUGAUUUCUGCCCUUAUGUUUUUGGUUGGGGCGACCACGGGGGAACAAAGAUCCCCCAUGUGGAAUAGGAAUUUUUCUUCCUCGAAAUUAGAGCCACAGCUCUGGUUAACAGAACUUCUGACCUACAAGAUCCGGCAAAGCCGAUCAACGAACCGAGUUACCCUAGGGAUAACAGCGCAAUCCUCUUUUAGAGCCCAUAUCGACAAGGGGGUUUACGACCUCGAUGUUGGAUCAGGACAUCCUAAUGGUGCAGCCGCUAUUAAGGGUUCGUUUGUUCAACGAUUAAAGUCCUACGUGAUCUGAGUUCAGACCGGA
rnacentral:rRNA from 1 species